rnacentral:rRNA from 1 species
UACGUAGGUGGCAAGCGUUGUCCGGAUUUAUUGGGUUUAAAGGGUGCGUAGGCGGUCUUUUAAGUCAGUGCUGAAAUAUCCCGGCUUAACCGGGAGGGUGGCAUUGAUACUGAAGGACUUGAGUUCAGUCGAGGUAGGCGGAAUUGACGGUGUAGCGGUGAAAUGCUUAGAUAUCGUCACGAACACCGAUAGUGUAGACAGCUUACUAGGCUGAAACUGACGCUGAGGCACGAAAGUGUGGGGAUCAAACAGG